GGCACCGACUAAAGACAAAAGAAACUUCUCCAGUGGAUGAAGUUGUCCACUGGCAUCCACAGCAAUGAUGUCCUUGCUUCCCAAAGUGUACACAUUGUUUGCUGGGAGAUUGCUGAGUUCCGGAGACAGACUGGGCUUCUGCUUUCUUUUGGUGGAGGUGUCUGCUUGCAGAAAAUUUAUGUUCUGGGAUUUACAACUUCAGGGAGACAAAGGAAACUCCAGCUCAUCUCCCACAUCAUUGAUUGAGAGGACCAUUUUCUGACUCUCUGCACAUGAAGCUGUGCCCUGUGGUCAGGACCAGACAUGUUUCUGUGCUUUUCCUCUCCACCUGCUUCUCCCCUGUGAUGCAAAGGCAAAGGGGCUGUGGGUGUGGCUGAGUGCUCAGGAGGGCACCGCCCAGUGAGGUCAGUGAGUGUCAGUGACUCACGUCCACCUAGAAUUGCCCCACCAGGGCCUUGCUGAGUCUUCUCCCUGCUGCUGGGAAUUUUGUCCCACCUUUAUGUAGAUGUGCGUUACUGAGUUUAUCUGCAUAGGAAAGGAUAUGAGCUCUGAGUUCCUGGACUCUUCCUCCUCUCAGGUUCCUUAGACUGAUUUAGGAGUAGGAUUCUGAGCAUCUUGGGGAGCUCUCCUGGGGGGUCUAAUCGCCCACGUCUCAGGGACAUGGGAAGGCCUAACAAUCAAAGUGCACUUGGUGCUAGACAUAGAAGUGGGAAGAAAGUGGAGAACAAAUGAACAGGAGGCUGGCUAUCUGGAUAUCUGGAUGAGGGGCCCGAAGGACCAUAGAGACCACCCAACCCAUGGGAUAGACAAAGAAUGGGCAGUGUCCAGAAGCAGAACUGGAAAGUCCCCUAUACACACAUGGCCCACCCAUGCUAGAUUUUCAAUCCCUGGAAUCAACACUGCCACUGACAAAUAUGUUAUUUCUGGGAGAUUCUCUGACCUCACUUAUGCUUAGUUUCUUCAUAUAUAUAGUGGGAAUUUUAUAACUCAUUUGUCAAUCUUUUCCUGGAAUAAAAACAAAUGAGAUACAGAAAUGCUUUGUAAGCAGAUGAACUAAAUAAAUACAUCCAGAGAACUGGCAAACCAUACUGCUCCUUCCUACCCACUUCUUUGCUAAAUUUUGGAAGAGGAUUUGUGGACAAACAUCCUAUUUUGCAUCUCCCAUCUGGGGACAAUAUAUCAAAUGACUUACAACAUUUUAAUCAUGUAACACAAGUCUACUGUUAUGAGUAUUUAAAGUGUUGAAGAUUUAAAAAGAAAUGAAAAUGACAAUGCCUUCAUUUAAAAGUGGAAUGUUCUCUGAAAAAGUCAGAAAGAACUCCAAACUCAAUUAUUAUUAUUGAAUCAUAUUUAUUAAACAGUGUAUGCUGUGUCCUCAAGAAAGAGACUACACACACAAACAGAUUAAGAAACACAAAACUCCAAACCCCAGAACGAACACUAUGGUUGAAAAUGCCCAGAGCACAUGUGACUUUUCAGGAACCUCUGAUGACCCUGAAGCCACAGACAGGGAACCCUGGCUCUAGACUGUUAGCAACUCCAGACAGGAACAAUGCUUUAUGUGUUAUUGUACCCCAAAUCCCAGCACAGUGCCAGCAUCUAAGAGAUGUCAUUCUGAAUUGGCAGGGCUAGACUCAUUGUUAUUUAUGCUCUUUUAACACAAGCAAAGGUAUGAAGGACAGCUUUGGACCAGGGACUCAGAGGGAGGAUAACAAUAGCUGAAGAGUUUGAAAAGCAAGACAAGAGCACAGGUAUCCAAACUGCUGAGAAGUGACUCCACUUCUCAGCUAGCUAUGAAGGUGUGGUGGACAGGGACAGUCCUAACAGCCAGCUAAGAAUUCAGGAGAACACCUGAGGACAAGAUCUUGAUACAGUUAUUGGAACCACGGUACAAGAUGAGGUGUGACUAAGGGCAAGCCAGACCAGAGGCUAGUUACAGAAAAUGGGUGCAAAUCAUAGAGAAUGGGUAUUCCCAGCCUCCUAGGGUAGGGUAAUGAAGGGUCUAGGAGUCAGGGAAAUAAUUGCAGGAGGUUCUGUCUUUGACUGUGCCUGGGACUGGAAGAGAUCACUCAGCUUCUCUGAGGUUGUUCCAUGGAGCUUGCGAGUUUUCAAAGCACUCUUAGGCCCACUUUUAGAGGUUCAUAAAUACAAGACAGCUUCUUAGUUUCGAUUGCUUCUACCUUAUGCCAAGCAUAUGGUACUGAAAAAAUUAAACGGUAGACAUUUUUUACAAUAAUCAGUUGUAAAAAUAAUUGAUUGGUGAUAUUACAAUGUUGUUUACCCGUAUUCAUCCUUCCACAUAGUAUAGUCUAACAGAUGUCAUUUAACCUCAACACUUAAUCAUCUGCUCCUAAAACGCUGCUGCUCUUGUGGGGUAUUAUACUCCAUUAUUCUAAGACUAGGGAGUACUUGGAAGAGAAGAUCCAGAAGAGUGGCAUCAUAGUUGGGUAGGCUGGGCUACAUCUCAUGAAGAUGCAUUUAUAAGAACAAAACUCAUUUGAAGGGAAAAUAGAAAUGAUACCUACAUUAGCUGAUAAAUAGAAGCUAAUUAAGAGAUUUUCUAUAAAUUUUAAGUUUACAGACUGUUAGAAUCAGAAGGGAUCUUGGAAAUUACCACAUUGCCAAUUACUAAUUUUCAAGUGAAGAACCAGGUUUUAAGGUUGAGUGGGUUGCUGAAGGCCAGGAAGUUAGAGGAAAGGAAUAGGAUCGUUUCCUCUCAUCCCAAUCAAUGCUCCUUCCGGGGAUCUCCCUGGCUGGAGGAAAUGGGGUGGGGAUAAGAACCAGGAGGAGAGAUGUGUAGAUUACUCCUUUCUUCUCAAUGUCUGCCGUACAGAAGUCAUUUUGUCCAGUGGGGGAAUUGUAAGGAAAAAACCAUAUUUUAAAAUUCCCUAACAAAUAUGACAUCACAAGUCAGGUUUCUUCUCUAGAAUUUCUAGUUGUUUCUAAUGACAACCUUAUUUAUUAACUCCCAUAGCAUUAUUUUUACUUGUUUUCUAAGAAAAAUAAAGGUUUUGAAAGUAAUAUUUUUGAGUUGGAAAAAACUAGGAGAUCAAAAACUGAGAAAAAUAUUAACAAAAUUAUUUUAAAAUUUGUGUUUCUUUUUAAAUUGUUUUACUUUUUAUAGAAUAAACCCAUUUUAAGCAGUAUUAUAAUAAUGAAGUUUACAUUGUGGCAAAAUUAGCUUUUGAUUUAUUACAAACAAUAUUUCUGAUAAUAUUUUUUGAGGAAUUUGUUACCCCAUUAAAAUUUUCCUUACAUGUCUACUUGAAUGUCUGUAGUUUCUGGUUAAGACUGAUUAAAUCUAAGGAAAUGUUCUUCCUAGACGAAAGAAGGGGUUCAAUGCGUCAUGCUUCCUCUGUAAAUGCUUUUGCUAAUGGAGUGCUCAUGUUCAACCAGAUGUGGGAAAAUUCUAUCGACAGGCCCUUGAAUAACUAAUUGACAAUUACCAUGGGAAGUCUUUUGAUAGAAGGCCACUUGACAUUUAUUAAAUGUCAAACUUCCUUAGACCACAGAUAUCACGUGUUUCUAACGUGACUUGAAUCCUUUGAGAGAAAGAAAUCAGUCAUGUCUGGUGCCAGGGUUAAUAUAGAUUUGGGGCUGUCUUUAUUCUUUAAGGAGGAUGACAGCUAACAUUUAUGGAGUACUUAUCAUGUGCAAGUCUCUGUUCUAAGUAUUUUAUAUGGAUUAACAACAUUAUUAUUGUCCCAAUCUUACUGUUGAGGGAAAUAAGGCACAACAGGUUAAGAACGUGGCUAAGAUACACAGCUCAUAAAGAAGUCUAGGUCCAGAGACUGUGCCCUUUUAUGUUAUACUGCCUUCUUCUUUUUUUUUUUUAGGCUAUGAAAUUACUAUAAUUGUAUUUUUUAGUGGAGAAAGACAGCUAGGUAUAAUUUAUUAUAGGUGGUGUAUUCCCUGAAUUCUGGAUCUGUUUGCUUCCUACGGGUUUUUUUCAAAUUUUUUUUUAUUAUUAUACUUUAAGUCUUAGGGUACAUGUGCACAACGUGCAGGUUAGUUACAUAUGUAUACAUGUGCCAUGUUGGUGUGCUGCACCCAUUAACUCAUCAUUUAACAUUAGGUAUAUCUCCUAAUGCUAUCCCUCCCCCCUCCCCCCACCCAGCAACAGGCCCCAGUGUGUGAUGUUCCCCUUCCUGUGUCCAUGUGUUCUCAUUGUUCAAUUCCCACCUAUGAGUGAGAACAUGCAGUGUUUGGUUUUUAGUCCUUGCGAUAGUUUGCUGAGAAUGAUGGUUUCCAGCUUCAUCCAUGUCCCUACAAAGGACAUGAACUCAUCCUUUUUUAUGGCUGCAUAGUAUUCCAUGGUGUAUAUGUGCCACAUUUUCUUAAUCCAGUCUAUCAUUGGUGGACAUUUGGGUUGGUUCCAAGUCUUUGCUAUUGUGAAUAGUGCCGCAAUAAACAUACAUGUGCAUGUGUC